rnacentral:lncRNA from 1 species
AAAUUGAUUACCUUUUGCAACAUUACAUGUAUGAAGUAAUCUAGAUUCAGUGUGACCUAAUACUAGGGAGCAUACUGGAAGUUGGCCUUUUGUUAGGAAAGAUACAAGGAGGCUAUUUUGGACAAAUGAAGGUUACUAUAUUCAUGUUUAUAACAUGAAAAUAGCCUUAUUUUUGUUCUUGGCAUAAGUCAAUAAUGAGUUAAAUACUUUACUGGGAUUUCAUCAAAACAGUAUUCUUCCUGUUCAUUCUAAGAAUUCAGGAGGGGAAUAUAGUAGUAACUUGUCUAUUGACACUUUUGCCUUAC